rnacentral:rRNA from 1 species
GAUGAACGCUGGCGGCGUGCCUAAUACAUGCAAGUCGAGCGAACAGACGAGGAGCUUGCUCCUCUGACGUUAGCGGCGGACGGGUGAGUAACACGUGGAUAACCUACCUAUAAGACUGGGAUAACUUCGGGAAACCGGAGCUAAUACCGGAUAAUAUAUUGAACCGCAUGGUUCAAUAGUUAAAGACGGUUUUGCUGUCACUUAUAGAUGGAUCCGCGCCGCAUUAGCUAGUUGGUAAGGUAACGGCUUACCAAGGCAACGAUGCGUAGCCGACCUGAGAGGGUGAUCGGCCACACUGGCACUGAGACACGGUCCAGACUCCUACGGGAGGCAGCAGUAGGGAAUCUUCCGCAAUGGGCGAAAGCUUGACGGAGCAACGCCGCGUGAGUGAUGAAGGUCUUCGGAUCGUAAAACUCUGUUAUUAGGGAAGAACAAAUGUGUAAGUAACUAUGCACGUCUUGACGGUACCUAAUCAGAAAGCCACGGCUAACUACGUG